UCAAUAAGCGGAGGAAAAGAAACUAACAAGGAUUCCCCUAGUAACGGCGAGUGAAGCGGGAAGAGCUCAAAUUUAAAAUCUAACAGUCUUUGGCUGUUCGAGUUGUAUUCUAGAGAAGUGUUUUCUGUGCUGGACCGUGUACAAGUCUCUUGGAACAGAGCGUCAUAGAGGGUGAGAAUCCCGUCUUUGACACGGACUACCAGUGCUAUGUGAUGCGCUCUCAAAGAGUCGAGUUGUUUGGGAAUGCAGCUCAAAAUGGGUGGUAAAUUCCAUCUAAAGCUAAAUAUUGGCGAGAGACCGAUAGCGAACAAGUACCGUGAGGGAAAGAUGAAAAGCACUUUGGAAAGAGAGUUAAACAGUACGUGAAAUUGCUGAAAGGGAAACGCUUGAAGUCAGUCGCGUUAGUUAGAACUCAGCCUUGCUUUGGCUUGGUGCACUUUCUAAUGAACGGGCCAGCAUCAGUUUUGGCUGCGAGAUAAAGGUCGGAGGAAUGUGGCACCUUUGGGUGUGUUAUAGCCUUUGAUUGUAUAUCGCAGCUGGGACUGAGGAUCUCAGCACGCCUUUACGGCCGGGGUUCGCCCACGUUCGUGCUUAGGAUGCUGGCGUAAUGGCUUUAAACGACCCGUCUUGAAACACGGACCAAGGAGUCUAACAUACCU
rnacentral:rRNA from 1 species